GACGAACGCUGGCGGCGUGCUUAACACAUGCAAGUCGAACGAUGAAGCCGGGGCUUUUGUUUUGGUGGAUUAGUGGCAAACGGGUGAGUAAUACGUGAGUAACCUGCCCUUGUCUUUGGGAUAAGCCUGGGAGACUGGGUCUAAUACCGGAUAUUCUGCUUUUGCCGCAUGGUGGGGGUUGGAAAGAUUUUUUGGAUGGGGAUGGGCUCACGGCCUAUCAGCUUGUUGGUGGGGUGAUGGCCUACCAAGGCGUCGACGGGCAGCCGGCCUGAGAGGGUGACCGGCCACAUUGGGACUGAGGUACAGCCCAG
rnacentral:rRNA from 1 species